rnacentral:rRNA from 1 species
CGGCGUCGAGCGGCGGACGGGUGAGUAAUGCCUAGGAAAUUGCCCUGAUGUGGGGGAUAACCAUUGGAAACGAUGGCUAAUACCGCAUGAUGCCUACGGGCCAAAGAGGGGGACCUUCGGGCCUCUCGCGUCAGGAUAUGCCUAGGUGGGAUUAGCUAGUUGGUGAGGUAAGGGCUCACCAAGGCGACGAUCCCUAGCUGGUCUGAGAGGAUGAUCAGCCACACUGGAACUGAGACACGGUCCAGACUCCUACGGGAGGCAGCAGUGGGGAAUAUUGCACAAUGGGCGCAAGCCUGAUGCAGCCAUGCCGCGUGU